rnacentral:rRNA from 1 species
GACGAACGCUGGCGGCGUGCUUAACACAUGCAAGUCGAACGGAAAGGGCCUGCGCUUGUUCGGUGCUCGAGUGUCGCACGGGUGAGUAACACGCGAGUAAACUGCCCUCCACUUUGUGGUAACUUCAGUAAACUCGGGCUCUUACCCGAUAGGAGCUCCUGCUGCAUGGUCUCUGUUGGAGGGUUUCGGCGGUUGGGGAUGGACUCGCGGCUUAUCAGCUUGUUGGUGGGGUAGUGGCUUACCAAGGCUUUGACGGGUAGCCGGCCUGAGAGGGUGACCGGCCACAUUGGGACUGAGACACGGCCCAGACUCCUACGGGAGGCAGCAGUGGGGAAUAUUGCACAAUGGGCGGAAGCCUGAUGCAGCAACGCCGCGUGCGGGAUGACGGCCUUCGGGUUGUAAACCGCUUUCGGCUGUGACGAAGCGUGAGUGACGGUAAUGGGUAAAGAAGCACCGGCUAACUACGUG